rnacentral:rRNA from 1 species
UACAGAGGUCUCAAGCGUUGUUCGGAUUCAUUGGGCGUAAAGGGUGCGUAGGCGGCGCGGUAAGUCGGGUGUGAAAUCUUGGAGCUUAACUCCGAAACUGCAUUCGAUACUGCCGUGCUUGAGGACUGGAGAGGAGACUGGAAUUCAUGGUGUAGCAGUGAAAUGCGUAGAGAUCAUGAGGAAGACCAGUGGCGAAGGCGGGUCUCUGGACAGUUCCUGACACUGAGACACGAAGGCCAGGGGAGCAAACGGG